UCUGCAUGGAGCCAACCUUGAAAUACCACCCUUUAACGUUUGAUGUUCUAACCUAAUAAAAUAA
rnacentral:rRNA from 1 species